rnacentral:rRNA from 1 species
UACGUAGGGUGCGAGCGUUAAUCGGAAUUACUGGGCGUAAAGCGUGCGCAGGCGGUUUUGUAAGCCAGAUGUGAAAUCCCCGGGCUUAACCUGGGAAUGGCAUUUGGGACUGCAAGGCUUGAGUGCGGCAGAGGAGACUGGAAUUCCUGGUGUAGCAGUGAAAUGCGUAGAUAUCAGGAGAAACACCGAUGGCGAAGGCAGGUCUCUGGGCUGACACUGACGCUCAUGCACGAAAGCGUGGGGAGCAAACAGG